GACGAACCGUGCGAACGUUGUUCGGAAUCACUGGGCUUAAAGGGCGCGUAGGCGGGUUCCCAAGUUCGGGGUGAAAUCUUUCGGCUUAACCGGAAAACAGCCUUGAAUACUGGGAGUCUCGAGCGAGGUAGGGGCAGCUGGAACUUCCGGUGGAGCGGUGAAAUGCGUUGAUAUCGGAAGGAACGCCGGUGGCGAAAGCGAGCUGCUGGACCUUUUCUGACGCUGAGGCGCGAAAGCGUGGGGAGCAAACAGG
rnacentral:rRNA from 1 species